AAUAAUAAUAAUUUAAAAAAAUAAAGCUACAUACUCUGUCCCUGAGGCAAUGGUUCUUAACCUUUUCUGGGUGAUGUAGGGAAGAGUGAUCGCACACCUGCUGAGACCCUGUUAAAAGCUAUGGACUCUUUCCUCAGGAAAAAAGCACACAUAAACUCUCACGCAGCUGCAGGGGCUUUCAGAGGCUCACAAACUCCUGAGGUCCAUUCUUGGAGUCCAGAUUCAGAAUCCCUGGUGCAAUCCCAAGCCUUUGGCACUCCCUGGAGCCUGAAAUCCCCAAGUUCCUUUUGGGCCAAACUGGUUAAACAUGGAUUUUGAAAAAAGGAACAAAGCCAGGGAUAGAAUUAGCUCAGCACUCCCAGGGGGCUGCCUCACAGCAAGCACUUUAAAGUGUGUGAGAGAGAAUAUGAUGCAGAGGAAGAAUUUCUUGUACUCUGAGUACCGCUGAAAAGCAUUCAAUUUGGGAGGGCUCCACGGACAGGAAGAACCAGAAGGUAAAUCCCAAGUUGGUACCUCUGACUUCCUAUGUCCCAUGCCUUUGGGAUGGGGCGGGGAGGGGAGUGUGGGGGUAGGAACAGGAGUUUUGCUUUAAUUCUGAGUUGGAUGUCCUCUUGCUUUGAAAGAUCUCUCAAGAAGCUGUACCAAGAACCAAACUCCAAGACCUCUACCAACUGUCAUUGCACAGGGGACUGCUAGGACCUAGGAGGAGGGCCUGCAGUUUCAGAGCCAUUUGUGGGGAAAGGAGGCAGCACCCUAGGAAACAUCCCUUCCUAAAAUGUGCACACACGUGCUAAAAGCAGCCGCUGAUGGGCUGGGGAAGAGAGGCCUGGCUCUCUGGGGCUUCAUCCUUUCAUCCUGCUUCUGAGGCUGCUCGAACUCUUGUAACAUCUCAGAGCUGCUCCAUCAGACCCUGUAACACGGACACCUUGGUGUCUUAGAAGGAGAUAAGGACAGAAUCUGUGGGAAGCCUCCACUGUAGCCUGAAAGUUCCAUGGUGAAGAUGGGGUUCCCAGCAGCCAGCCCAGGGGAGUGACAGUCACAGGCCUCCCAGAGACCUGGCCCAGGAGUUUCCUCAAUACGCUUCUUGGAGGCUUUAUGAAGCAGAAGCGUGGCUAGGGCUCUGGGAGGCAGGAAGACCUGAUUUGAGUCUCAGCUCCCCACAGUGAGCAAGAUGUAUAAUUCACUCAGCCUCCACCUCUGCACCUGCAAAAUGGGGACAAUGACAGAACCUCUUCCUUAAGGACAUUAGGAAGACUCAAGGUAAUGCCUCCACAGCACACUGCUCAGCACUCCCCACCCCACCUUACGGAUGAGGCUGCCCCAGCUCUGGAGCACCCCCGGAGGUCAGCCACAGUCUUUGCUGCAACACCAUCACAGUGGAGCAUCUCCCUUUGCACCAUCCUGUGUGCCUUGCGAGUAUUCAUUCCAAAGUACUGCCAGAUAAACUUGCUGCAUGCAAACCUCCGUCUCCGAGUCAGCUUCCUAGGAACCUGAGACUUGAGGCGAGAUCCCUUAGGGAGCAAAUGAAGUGAGAACAGCCUUGACAAACAAUUCUGGAGGAACAGUAGGGACAAAAACCUCACUGGAGUGGAUUCAAGAAAGAAUGAAAGGAGAGAAACAGCACAGCAAGGAUAGGCAACUCUUUCCAGGAGUUUUGCUGUUUUACUAGGAGCACAGAGAUGCAGAAACAGCAUGCCAUUUUCCCAGGGCUACUGCACGUGCUGAAAUCGGGCCCUAGAUAUGGACACCUGUCCUGUCUGCCUCAGUCUCAACUGCACACAGAUGUUUCUUAUGCUUCAUCCAAAUUGUCCAGUUGUUCUCAGCAGAAGAACUGCUCUGAUACAAGCUAGUUCAUUCUAGCUGGGAGCAGAAGUGCAAGGCCUCGGCCUUGGGUGAUGUCCAGAGUUGAGUGUCGGGAUCUCUGAAGACACAGGAGGCAGCUCCCUCUUGGCUGGGCCUACCUCUGCAGGACAAAAGCCUCCAGCCCUUGGGUAAAGGCAGAUGCCUGGCCUCCCCCGACUCCAACUCUCCUCAGUCACACCUGCCUGCCUACAGCUCCAGCACCACAGAAGAUACCCAGUAAAGCCACUAGCAACCUUCCCACUAGGCCCCCAGAUCUGGCUUAUUAAAUUGUCUUCUGUCACAAGGACCACUUACUUACAACAGCUGUUGCUGUGGCAACCAGGCAGCCAGCCUUCCGCUCCAGCUAACAGCCAUGAAGCUCCUGCUGACUACUUGGCUUGGGCAACUGCAGGGGAAGUUGCCCCCAAAGUGUCUGUGAGGAUGGAACAUGGUGGAGGACGUGGGAAGUGGCGACAGGGAACGGGAGGCUGAUUGUGAAGUGCAGAGAUUUGGAAUUGUUCUAUCAUUCCCUACCAACAGGUUGGAAGAGCUAUGAGAUGACUCCCGCCAGAGGGGUUCCCACACCUUCUUGUGAUAUAGGCCACUUCUCCAGCAACACCUCCUUACCCACUCCACUCCCUAUCUACAAGCUGAAGGAGGGAGGGCCCUCCAGGGGCAGAGAGAGGGCCACACACAGCUAGAACAGAAUCCUGCCAAUGCAGGUGAAGGGCGCUGGGCACUCACCAGCCCUGAGAAAGAGGGGGGCAUCAGGAACUGGCAUUGGCAGGCCCCAACGUUGCUGUUGAGAGGCUGUAACUCCUCUGCCCUCCUGACUCUUCCUGAGAGAGGGGCUGCUUUCUUUAACCAGUCCUGAAUGUCUCUAGUCUGAACUUGUAGCUGAGUGACUAGAGAUUUUGAAGUUGCAUAGAUGAGUGUUCAAACCUUAGUUUUUUCAGUUGCUACCUGUUUAACAUGAGGCAAAUUACUUAACCUCUCUGAGCCUCAGUUUUUGUAGCUGUAAAAUAGGGGUGAGUACAGUACCGACCAACAAACUGUUUCAAGGAUUAAUUGAGAUCGAGCACAUAAAGUAUGUAAGACACAAUGCUGGCACAUAACAAGCUCUCAGUAAGUCGGUAGUAUUAUAGUUAUUAUUGCUAUUGUUAUCAUCACCGACGAUUAUGUCACUAGAAGACCUAGAGGCUGAACACAUAAUUGAGAGACUUAGAAGAACUGAGAAUGAUAAAAGAAACCUCAGCAUGUGAUCUACAAUAUGGUAUUAUUUUUGUUUUUAAAAAAAUGUUAACUGGAUAUCUCUAA
rnacentral:lncRNA from 1 species